UUUAGUUCAUUAAUAGUGCUGACUAUAAGAGCUCUUCAGUCCUUUCCUGCUGGGCUACAGGCCAGUGGUUACCAAGAUGUUUCAGCAGUCAUGGUGCCUCAGAGCACUGUCUUGGAAGGAAGAAGGUGCAUAAAAUGGAAAUCACAUUUAUCAAGUUCUAUGCUGCUGCUAGUGCUGAACAGGAUACCUUAAAUAAAUAUGCCUUUUAACACUGACAAUCCCCAGUGCUUGUUAUAUCUACUUUAUAGAAGAAAAAAACUGAGGUUCGAGGUGGGUUCCUUCAUUCAUAUAUUUAAGUGCCUCCUAGGGACCUCAGUACUGGGGACACUAAAAUGUACAAUAAAGACCCUGUCCCUGCCUCACAAAGCUUGCAUCCUUGUAGGGGAGUGUCAAUUCAACAACCACACAAGUAAUUAAUUAAUUAUGGUAGGGAAAGUGAAAAUGCUGUGAGAACAAGUAGCAGAGGGAGCCAACCCAAUCUGGAGAUCCAAGAAGACCUCCCGGAGGAAGCGAGAUUGAAGUUGAGACCCGAGGAAUUACUCAGGAGGGGGGCAAAUGAGCACUCCCCACACCAGCACCACGGAGCCCCAACAGCAGAAGGAAGCAUGGCCUUUCAAAGAAGGGAAAACAUGCCAGGACAGGUAGAGCAGAGGCCAGAGGUGGAACUAUCAUAAGGUGAAGCUGGUGAGAUUAGUACAGCCUCAGCCACCAGCGCCAGCCUUGCAGACCAAGCAAGGAUGUUGGACUUUAUUCCAGGAAGUGGCGGAGAAACACAGCAGUCCUUCAGGAGGUCAGACUUUCUAGUAAGAAGCAAGUGAUCAAAUCGAGGUUGGAGUCUAAAGUCCAUGCUUUUUCCACUGUACCCAGCACAUUUAUGUGAUGGAAAAAAAAAAAAAAAAGUCUGCAGGUGUGAUUGAUUGAUAGGAUCUUCUAGCUCACAGAAAGAGUCUGGAGUAGAAGGAAAGCCCUGGAGUAAGAGUCAGAAAUCUUGAGUUCUAGUUCUGCCUCUGGCCAUUCCUAAUUGGGCAGCUUGGCUACGUCUUUUUACCUCCACAGACCUCAAUUUCCUUACUUCUAACAGAAAGGGUUGGACUAAAGCCAUGCAUACCCCAUAGUAAAUACUCAGUAAAUCUUAGCGGCUACUUCUAUCAGCCUCUUUGCUCUCUAAUAUUCUCUGUCAGUAUAAAUUCCGUGACUAUGAUUGUACUUUUUCAGAUUCUCACUUACCAGGCAUGGUCAUCAACCUUAGUUAUCUCUAGAGUAAGGUGGUAUAAUUAUUCUUUUGACAUAAUCCUGGAAUUCUCAAAUAACAUUUAGGAACUCUCAUCUCCAGAAGGAAUCCUGGAUUUUAUGGCUCACUUAAAUGUUCACAUAAUUGAUUUUCCCCUCUUACAGUAUUUAUCCAUAUAACCCACGGGCAGAAAUUGAAUUAUGGUUCUGAAGGGACUUACUGUUAUAAUAUUGGCAGAGUUUUCAUAGGUUAAGUGAUAAUUAAAGUUUAAAUUUCACAGAGGUCACACAGCUUUUAAGUGUGAUUCCCCCCACCACUAUAUUAUAACAAAGACAAUUUGGUUUUUGAAAUGCAAGAUAAUCUUAAACAAGAAAUUAUUUUCUACAUUAUAUGUAAAGUUGUGCUUGCUUUUAU
rnacentral:lncRNA from 1 species